rnacentral:lncRNA from 1 species
UUCUCCAUGUUUAUUUCUGCUAUUUUAAUUUGCCGAGGUAUUCGAUUUUAAGUUUUAGAGAGUUUUGGGACACUUAGUCGCUAAAUGAGCGCUUAAGUGUUAGAAAGUUGACUGUUGACCAUAGUCGGAACAGUGUAAAGACAGUCUUAGAAUGGAAAUCCGAUGGUUCUGCUAGCUCUGUUGGGUGAUUUUAUUCUUAGAGUCAUGAUCGGAUUGUGUCUUCGAGGUCCGUAGCUAAUUUAGGCUUGAAAUUCCAAAUGUUCGAAUUGUGAAGUUUCCGGUUCGAUAGUGAGAUUUUGAUCCGAGGGUCAGAGUGGAAUUUCGAGAGUUGUAGUAGUUCCAAUGUGUCAUUUGGUAAGUGUGUGAAAAAUGUCAG